AGUUUUCAGUGAAAUAAUUUUGCUGAAAGUAACAUAAAUAAAUCGUCCUAAGGUAGCGAAAUUCCUUGUCGGGUAAGAAAAACAACUUGCCCAUGAUGGCUAUAUCGGUGAAUCCUAAUGAUUCAGCGGGAAUCUAUGGUAAUACCGAGGGAAGUCCUAGUGACCCCGUAGAGACUACACGCCGUCCUCUGAAAUAUUAUUCAGAGAAGAUAUAGUCCAUGCCUGAUUGAAAAAUUAGG
rfam:Candidatus Moranbacteria bacterium RIFCSPHIGHO2_02_FTLL_40_12b rifcsphigho2_02_scaffold_21684, whole genome shotgun sequence.